rnacentral:misc_RNA from 1 species
GAAAUGCGAUAAGUAGUGUGAAUUGCAGAAUUCAGUGAAUCAUCGAAUCUUUGAACGCACAUUGCGCCCUUUGGUAUUCCAAAGGGCAUGCCUGUUCGAGCGUCAUUUGUACCCUCAAGCUUUGCUUGGUGUUGGGCGUCUUGUCUCUAGCUUUGCUGGAGACUCGCCUUAAAGUAAUUGGCAGCCGGCCUACUGGAUUCGGAGCGCAGCACAAGUCGCACUCUCUAUCAGCAAAGGUCUAGCAUCCAUUAAGCCUUUUUUCAACUUUUGACCUCGGAUCAGGUAGGGAUACCCGCUGAACUUAAGC